rnacentral:rRNA from 1 species
UUACAGCCAUAUCAUGUUGAAACACCAGUUUGCAUACAAUCACCAAGGUUAAGCAAUGUUGAGCCUAGUCAGUACCAAGAUGGGUGAUUGCUUGGAAAUACCAGGUGCUGUAAG